UACGAAGGGGGCUAGCGUUGUUCGGAAUUACUGGGCGUAAAGCGCACGUAGGCGGAUAUUUAAGUCAGGGGUGAAAUCCCAGAGCUCAACUCUGGAACUGCCUUUGAUACUGGGUAUCUUGAGUAUGGAAGAGGUAAGUGGAAUUCCGAGUGUAGAGGUGAAAUUCGUAGAUAUUCGGAGGAACACCAGUGGCGAAGGCGGCUUACUGGUCCAUUACUGACGCUGAGGUGCGAAAGCGUGGGGAGUAAACAGG
rnacentral:rRNA from 1 species